AGAUUGAACGCUGGCGGCAUGCUUUACACAUGCAAGUCGAACGGGGUGAGGGGCAACUCUUCAUCUAGUGGCGAACGGGUGAGUAAUGCAUCGGAACGUGUCCCGUAGUGGGGGAUAACCCGGCGAAAAGCCGGACUAAUACCGCAUAUGCUCUACGGAGGAAAGUGGGGGCUCCGCAAGGACCUUACGCUAUGGGAGCGGCCGAUGUCCGAUUAGCUUGUUGGGGGGUAACGCCCACAAGGCGACGACGGGUA
rnacentral:rRNA from 1 species